ACGGCACACUCCCCACAGGCCACAGCCUGUUUCUGACCGAGACGCCCUUUCCGGAAAAGGUUCCGGGGAAGGUCCCGUAGGGCCUAGAAGGCUGGUGCGCAUGUGCUCAACGACCCCACGAAGGAUUUAGUUAGGCUGGUGUAUAUUCAGCCUGUUUUAAAUUGUUGUCGGUGACAAAAACAUGUCUCUGUCUGUCUGUCUGUCAUAUAGAUUUCUGAAUUUUUCGACCUAAUCUGAUCCUGCUUUUUCUGGGGGAGGAGGGGGGAUUCAAUUUGAUCCUGCUUUAAAGGAGAAUGCACCCGUCUAGGUUGUCUCCAACACCGGCCCUUGAGACGGACAUAGUAUUUGUCUGUGCCCAAAAACCUCCACCCGAAGUAGAAACAAAAUUCAAACCAGAUGGAUAAAUAUAGGGAUGGCAAUUUGCUCCAUGGAUCCGGAUACCCGUGGAUACCCGACCCGAAUGGGCAAGGGUAUGGAGCGCAUUUCUGCCCAUGGGUCGGUGGAUAUGGAUACCCGUGAACAGCCGGGUUAGGCAUGGGUAUAAUUUCUGCUCCAUGGAUAUCCAAUGGAUACCCGUAUGACAUGUGGGGCCAUAUGGCAGUGACAUUGGAGUAAGCACACGUCCAACCUCACAGUCGCUCGCGGUCACAGAGGUCAAAGCCCGGCCCAUGUUCCCUAACCCCCCACAACCCCACAAACCUAGUAAUUAUUAAACCUAAUCUAAGCUGUGUGUCAACCCCAAAUCACCCCGAGUCCACCUCCCUCGGUCCCUCCCCAUCCCCAGCACCCCAGCGCGGCGGCGCUCUACCCAAAUCACAAUCGCCGCCCCCACGGCCCUGCCUCUCCCUGUCCGUCCACCCCAGCGCGACCGGCCUCGGUGACCGGCGUUUGUCACCACUGACCAGCAACAUCUUGAGUCCAGCACUCCAGCUCCCUCCCCAGCGCGACCGGCCUCGGCGAGACGGCGACCAGCAUCGGCAAGACGGUGAUAGGCCUCGACGACCAACACAGGCGACCGGCAGACGGCAACAUACCCAUGAAGUAAAUCUCCAAUGGAAGGGGGCAAGAGCAACCAUGGGAAGGGCAGGGCGGGAAUGUUAGUGUCCCACGGAGGAGUUUGCGUGGUCGGCAUCCAGCACCGGAGUUGCCAUGCACCGGUGAGCAACAGGGCGUCGACGACAACACCAUUAGCACUGAAAAGGCUCCCGAAAACAGUGUUGCUCCUAUAGCGGAUGUCUCAGGCGUGGCUGGAGCAGCCGUGGUGGCAAGUUCAACUCCACAAGAGGGUACGAGUACAGUAGUGGAGCAGCCAAAACUGACCGAUUCUAGAAGGAAGCGUACAUCAGAUGUAUGGGAUGAUUUUAAGACAGAACUAAUCAAUGGGAAAUGGCAGGCAAUAUGCAACUGUGUCAUAAGUCAUAUGCCGAAGAAUCAAUCUCUGGAUAAAAAUGAGCCCAUCAUUACGGAAGACUAAUUUGGAGCCAAGUAUGCUCAUGUGGACAUGUGGCCGGGUCUCCAAUUACUAGUGCAUGUACUGUUGGAAGUGCAUUAGAAUUUUGAAAUAUGUUACGUCCUUUAUUUAUGCAACUUCGGUUGUGAUUAAUAAGAUCUUACAACUUUGGUUGUGAUGUAAUAAGAUUUUAAGACCAGAAUUCUACUAUGAUACUGCUUGAGUUGUCAACUUGUCAUUAUGUGGUCUACUACAUUUGUUUGAUGA